AUGGCUGAGUACGACGGCAUUGUCAGCAGGAUGUUUGAUAGCGAGGAAGAUGGUUUUGAGUUCUAUAACAAGUAUGCUCUUGAGAAAGGCUUUAGUGUGAGGAAAGGAUAUGUUGAGUGGGAUGAAGCGAACGAGAAGAUAAUUCUGAGGAAACUUGUCUGUAGUCGUGAAGGUUGCCGUGAAGAGAAACACAUGAAGAGGAAGAGAGAAGAUAGGAAGAGGAAGCCACGGAAUAUCACUCGUGUGGGGUCUAAAGCGAAAUUUGUCAUUGCAAGAGUCGUGAAAACAGGGCGGUGGUUUGUGAAAGAUUUCAUCGAUGAACACAACCAUCCUCUGGCCCCACGAGACCUUUCUUGCUUUCUGCGUUCCCACAGAAGAAUCAGCGACGAGAAGAAAGCGGACAUUAUAGAGAUGGAAAGUGUUGGAAUCAAGAAACACAAAAUCAUGGAUGUGUUGUGCAUGCAGUACGGUGGAUAUGACCAUGUUGGAUGCACGACGAGGGACAUCUAUAACUUCUGCCAUCGCUACAAGCAGGAAACAGUCGCUGCCGGUGAUGCUCAGACGGUGAUCCGUCACAUGAUGGCGCGGCAAGAGAGAGACCCAGAUUAUUUCUUCAAAUACUUGGUUUAUAAAGCUGGGCAUCUGAAGGGAUUGUUCUGGUCCGAUACUCAAUCCUGCCUUGACUACGAGGCUUUCAGUGAUGUUGUUUUUGAUAGCACAUAUAGGACCAAUAAGUACAAUCUUCCGUUUGUGCCGUUUGUCGGGUUGAAUCACCACCGCAGCACUGUUAUCUUUGGAUGCGGGAUCAUUUCUCAUGAAACUAAGGAGGCGUACGAGUGGAUGUUGCGGACAUUUUCUGAAGCCAUGUCGCAGAAGCAUCCGAUAUCUGUAAUCACCGACGGGGACCUUGCAAUGCAGAGAGCGAUCAGGGUGGUGUGGCCUGACUAA
rnacentral:rRNA from 1 species